GAACGCGAAGAACCUUACCAGGUCUUGACAUCCCUCUGACCGCUCUAGAGAUAGAGUUUUCCUUCGGGACAGAGGUGACAGGUGGUGCAUGGUUGUCGUCAGCUCGUGUCGUGAGAUGUUGGGUUAAGUCCCGCAACGAGCGCAACCCCUAUUGUUAGUUGCCAUCAUUCAGUUGGGCACUCUAGCGAGACUGCCGGUAAUAAACCGGAGGAAGGUGGGGAUGACGUCAAAUCAUCAUGCCCCUUAUGACCUGGCUACACACGUGCUACAAUGGCUGGUACAACGAGUCGCAAGCCGGUGACGGCAAGCUAAUCUCUUAAAGCCAGUCUCACUUCGGAUUGUACGCUGCAACUCGCCUACAUGAAGUCGGAAUCGCUAGUAAUCGCGGAUCAGCACGCCGCGGUGAAUACGUUCCCGGGUCUUGUACACACC
rnacentral:rRNA from 1 species